GUUUCCCCCGUGUUCGCUGGAUGUCCCUCCCGUUCGCUCCUCCUUCCACGACCCCACGGAAGCGGAAGGGAAGCUUUUCUCCAAUCGAAACGUCAGCGACGGAAUCCCUCCUCAUAAUCUGGUCGCCCCGACUUCCAACCCCAUCUCUUUCUCCCCAAACGGCACAAAUACCACGGGGCAAUGGAAGAAACUGAGCCCAGCCACCUCUAGGUUUUGCAUUCGCCACCGGGAUGAGAUCUGCUGGCUAUAGCAGCGAUGACGGCUACGGCGGGGCAAAGGCAGGAUCUAGAGGAUGGGUACGCGGGACUUAUCUGAAAGGUCAAUGCUUUCGAUUUUAAUUGUUACUCUGGCACCUUCAAUCGGUGAUCUCCGUUGCCAAGGCUCCUCUUUUCUGGGUGGAUCUGCAUCGGCAUGUAAGGUCUGGACAUUGAGAUGAUCCCGAUGGAUCAAUCAAAUACAUAUGGAUCAGUCAAUUAUCCGUAUUCUUCCUCCUCCUAUUGGUAUUGGAUUUAUUUUCAUGAUUCAUUGCGUGUUAUUGGCAUCAUCUCAAAUGUCUCCACCGUAAAGAACUCUAUCUCUGCGUGAAGGACAAGUUCCCCUACCCUUAUUUGGCAUUCGCCCAUGAGCAGGUUAAUCCCUGAUUAUAUAUACUAAAUUGAUCUCCCCAUGAGCAGGUUAACCCCCGAUUAUAUAUACUAAAUUAUCGUGCCACUGAUUUGCUUCAUGCAUCUCUUUACACUUAUAAAAAUUAUAGGCUUGACGAAAUUUGGAAUUCUGAUCUACAGGUGGCCCGCCUCAGAAUCUGUUGCAGCAAUAAGAAAAAGUGCUCGCCACUUUCUACCAGCAAGCAUGAUGCAUCUCAAUCUCAGGCUCUCUCACGUACAAAGAAGUAAUGAUUUUACUUUUUUGUCGGGUGUCCACCAUCACUUGAGCUGUAACCACUUGAAUGGCUGCCUUCAGCCAAGCUACAUUCUACGAUGACCGACUACUGCUGGAUUAUUAGGUAUUUAUAGUGUUUUAAUUGGUUAUGUCAGUUUUUUUAUCGUUGAUUGGUGAUCUUCAGUGCUCUUCUCUUCUAGCAUCAGUCAAGCUGACUCGAUUCGCUGUAGGAGUAGAUUGAGGAGCUUCUCUAGUCGUGGUUUACUCUGAUUUGUUCGUUAGUAGCUAUCCUCUCAUGGCUUACUCUGAAUUGUUUGCAAGGUGCUUGAUGGAAGGAUCGUCUAAGCAAACAUUUCGUUCUUUUGUACCAUGGUUUCAAGGUGGAAUUAGAAUAGAAUUUCUGCUUAAGCCUCGGAUUCCUUGAUGUUAUGCAGAUAUAUGGAACACAUAGAUUCAUCAUGAAGCAAACACAUCGAAGAUUUGCUUUAGGAGAGGACUGUGUGCUGUCAGAAGUUGUGAUAAUCAAGUGUUACAGAUGGAUUGGUUUGCUGCUUCAGAGUGACAAUAUUUGCCAUGUUCGGGUGUAACUAUAUUGGAGAUAAAACAUGAUGGCACCUUGACAAUUGAGGUAUUCGACAAGCUCUUCUCUAUGAAAUCUUGGUGUUGUAUUGGCUUACUUGCCUUUCCAUCUGAACAAUUUUCUCCUGCUGGUCCUCCCUAAAAGCAUAUUCGUAUAUCUGUACAAGAAUUAACUUAUUCAACAUUUUAAAUAUAAAUACCAGUAUUCCAUUGUAACUUCAAUUGAUGCCAUAUUUCAUUUUCAUUUAUCCAUGCGCACUUUUUUUUGAAGCUACAAAUAAAAGGCAGAACGUCCCGCAGCAAUGCGCGGGGUAUCAUCUAGUACCAACAAAUGAGCAAUGCCAAAAUAUCCGAGAGAACACUAGUAGAGACCUCUUGUACUCUAGAAUCUUAUAUUUAU